AUCUAGUCUACCCAAUAAUAAAUAAGAAAAAAAAAAUUGAAAUUGUUGUAUGAAUUUUUAAUUGAAACUUAAAAGAAAACAAAACAUUAGCCCUAUUCGAUUCUCUGUGUUAUUUGUGCUCUCAUCUCUCAUACAGUAGCAGCCCUUCGUCCGAGUCCUCCCCAGCUAUCUUCGGUAAGCAUUGGUCCUUUAGCUACUCAUUCUUCCUCACUAGCUUUCGCGUAUGUAGAAACUGCUGCUUAAUUUUGAAUUUUUUCCAUCUGAAAUUUAAAUUUCUAGCUGAAUGCCCAUUCGAUUAGCCGUUUUAGGGUUCCUUUUCUGUUCAAUUCAUGAGUUGUUUCAUCUAUUUACACAGCCUUUUUAAAUCCCACAAUUUGUUUUCUGUGAUGGGAAUUGGGCAAAAUCGCAAGCGCCCAGAAGUUGAAAGAGUAAUUAGAAAUUAAAAAAGGAAAAAAAUAUGGAUUUUUGUGGGUUUUUCUGUUUUUGUACUUAUGGGGCAAUGAACUGCUUUUCAUUGAUGAUGAACUUGCACAUUUUCUUGAAAUUACAUUCUUUGUUAGUUCGUAAUCUGAUGAAUUGUUUACAAAAGUAAACCACUUUUAUUAUUUGGCGUAAGUUUCAUGAUUUGUGAAUAUAAAAACCCUGCAAUUUGAUGAAAUUGUUGAAAUUAUGCAGAUUUGCAUAUUGGGUUGGUCUUGAAAUUUUCGAAUUUGUAGUAGCGUUAUCAGUUGAUGCAGGAGCAUCUAAGGGGCUCUCGAAGCUAAAGUGAGUCCGCUAGCCAGAUAGUUGGCUAGGGUUGUAGUUAAUUUGGGAGUUUUAGAGCCCGUUUGGUACUUUAUUUGAAUUCAAGGUUUUAAACUCAAAAAAUGUUUAUCAAAUUCCAACUCAAAAACUUGUUUGGUAAAUGGUAAGCCUGUUUUGCGAAGCUUGAAUAAAAAAUUAACUCAAAAACUAGCCUAAAAUCUAAGAACAACAAAUGUAUGUUAACUUGGUGUCGAGACCAACAACACCAAACUUCGACUGAAAGUAACCGCCGGUGAUGUUGCCGUGAUUUGUUAAUACUUACACUUUUUAGUUGCAAUCUUAUGAGAAGAAUACCUUACUAAGCUUUCAUAUCUUUGAAUUUCUUUGGACAUUGCCGACAAUUAUUUGACUGGUUCACUGCCAAGUGAACUAGGUGAUUUGGUACAUCUCGCAAUGCUAAAUAUAUCAAACAAGUUAUCAGUGAAAUCUCCACCAGCCUAGGCAGAUGUGAUAGUUUGGAGCCCUUUUACUUGGAACACAAUAAAUUUGAAGGAUAAAUUCCCCACAUAUAUUUCUUUACAUCAGUUUUGAGUGCCUAACUGGAUUUGGGAGAAGAGACAGGGUGGGGUGGCGCUGUGGUGGACCAGUGGGAGUCGAAAAGAGGGGGAAGAGACAAGGGAGAAGAGAGGGAGGCAAUUUAGAAAUUUAACAUGGAUUAAUGGUUAAAUUUGUAAGAAUUGUAAAAGGUAUGUUGGCUAUUCCACAUCGGUGGGGAAGGAAAAAAGAAUGAGUUUAAAUAUGAUUACCUCGCUCUGACUAAUACCGGGAUCUUUUAUGACAAAACCCCAUACAUGAUGGAUUGUACAGGUAGUAAUUACCAAAUUGGAAAUAAUACCAUUGUUAUUGAAGUGGGGGCCUCGGCCCCGUAGACCUGUUCCAAAAAGGUAGGAUAAAAUUUCCUUUUUCGUAAUUUUCUCUUCCAACAAAAUUAAGAUUCUACUCCUCUCUAUCAGCAUUUAGAUGUGUAGGUUGCCGGUGCUGGAGUGGAAGACGAUGCAGCAUCUAGAUUCAUGACAUGUUGGCCGCAGCACAAAUCUGUUGCAGCCUCGUGUUGCCGUGUUUUGUCAAUUAGGCCCUCAUUGUAGUCGCCAUGAACAUCUUCUGUAAGAAACCCAUCAAUGAAGAUUUGCGCUUUCUUAAUCUGUUGCUCAAUUUUUGUUUUUAAUUAAUCUUGUUAAGGGAUUAAGCUGACAUUCAAUUAUUGAAGGUCUUUUGAUUUUCAUUAGAUUAAAUUACGGGUUUAAUUCGUAUUUUCUUAAUUUGUUCAUAUGGGUUUGCAUUUUCAUUCACGAGGCUCUUCGGGAAAGCAAGAGAGAAAUGGUUAAUGCUACCCUCUGGGUUAAGUUGUAUGUUGAAGCUGGAUGUCUCAACGCUGACGAUGGCAUGCAAAAUAAUAUAACCAAGUUGAUGUAGAUUGGACUCUCCUGCUGUGCAAUAUCACCAAGGGAGCGGAAGCUUAUGAAUGUGGUUGUCGGAAAACGAGUGCAAUUAGAGACUCGUACCUCAGGGUUUUAGAGGACUAAAGAAGGACAAAGAUAUGCUGCUUGUGGUUUUUCUUUUCUUGUUUCUUUGCCUCUCUCUCUCUGUCUUCGCUUUGAACUUUGCCUCGUUUAUAUUAGUACAUGACUUAAAGCUUUCAAAAUAUUGUUUGUGUAGUGUGGAGUUAUUUGUACAUGACUUUGAACUUUGCCUCGUUUAUAUUAGUACAUGACUUAAAGCUUUCAAAUUA